rnacentral:rRNA from 1 species
UAAACGAUGAAUACUCGCUGUUUGCGAUAUACAGUAAGCGGCCAAGCGAAAGCGUUAAGUAUUCCACCUGGGGAGUACGCCGGCAACGGUGAAACUCAAAGGAAUUGACGGGGGCCCGCACAAGCGGAGGAACAUGUGGUUUAAUUCGAUGAUACGCGAGGAACCUUACCCGGGCUUGAAUUGCAACUGAAUGAUGUGGAGACAUGUCAGCCGCAAGGCAGUUGUGAAGGUGCUGCAUGGCUGUCGUCAG